rnacentral:rRNA from 1 species
CAUAGGUUAAUGAGGCGAACCGGGGGAACUGAAACAUCUAAGUACCCCGAGGAAAAGAAAUCAACCGAGAUUCCCCCAGUAGCGGCGAGCGAACGGGGAGCAGCCCAGAGCCUGAAUCAGUGUGUGUGUUAGUGGAAGCGUCUGGAAAGGCGCGCGAUACAGGGUGACAGCCCCGUACACAAAAAUGCACAUGCUGUGAGCUCGAUGAGUAGGGCGGGACACGUGGUAUCCUGUCUGAAUAUGGGGGGACCAUCCUCCAAGGCUAAAUACUCCUGACUGACCGAUAGUGAACCAGUACCGUGAGGGAAAGGCGAAAAGAACCCCGGCGAGGGGAGUGAAAAAGAACCUGAAACCGUGUACGUACAAGCAGUGGGAGCACGCUUAGGCGUGUGACUGCGUACCUUUUGUAUAAUGGGUCAGCGACUUAUAUUCUGUAGCAAGGUUAACCGAAUAGGGGAGCCGAAGGGAAACCGAGUCUUAACUGGGCGUUAAGUUGCAGGGUAUAGACCCGAAACCCGGUGAUCUAGCCAUGGGCAGGUUGAAGGUUGGGUAACACUAACUGGAGGACCGAACCGACUAAUGUUGAAAAAUUAGCGGAUGACUUGUGGCUGGGGGUGAAAGGCCAAUCAAACCGGGAGAUAGCUGGUUCUCCCCGAAAGCUAUUUAGGUAGCGCCUCGUGAAUUCAUCUCCGGGGGUAGAGCACUGUUUCGGCAAGGGGGUCAUCCCGACUUACCAACCCGAUGCAAACUGCGAAUACCGGAGAAUGUUAUCACGGGAGACACACGGCGGGUGCUAACGUCCGUCGUGAAGAGGGAAACAACCCAGACCGCCAGCUAAGGUCCCAAAGUCAUGGUUAAGUGGGAAACGAUGUGGGAAGGCCCAGACAGCCAGGAUGUUGGCUUAGAAGCAGCCAUCAUUUAAAGAAAGCGUAAUAGCUCACUGGUCGAGUCGGCCUGCGCGGAAGAUGUAACGGGGCUAAACCAUGCACCGAAGCUGCGGCAGCGACGCU